rnacentral:rRNA from 1 species
GCACUGAAGUAAGAAGAAGAUCGAUCGUCUAGUGGCAGACGGGUGAGUAACACGUGGGUAACCUACCUUCAAGCUGGGGAUAACAGUUGGAAACGACUGAUAAUACCGAAUAAGAUAUAGCAAUAUAUUGAAAAGGAGCCUUUAAAGCUCCACUUAAAGAUGGGCCUGCGGCGUAUUAACUAGUUGGUGAGGUAACGGCCCACCAUGGCGACGAUUGGUAGCCGGACUGAGAGGUUGAUCGGCCACAUUGGGACUGAGACACGGGCCCAGACUCCUACGGGAGGCAGCAGUGGGGAAUAUUGCACAAUGGGGGAAACCCUGAUGCAGCGACGCCGCGUGGAGGAAGAAGGUCUUCGGAUUGUAAACUCCUGUCGUUGGGGACGAUAAUGACGGUACCCAACAAGAAAGCCACGGCUAACUACGUG